rnacentral:rRNA from 1 species
GGAUGAACGCUGGCGGCGUGCCUAACACAUGCAAGUCGAGCGAUUUACUUCGGUAAAGAGCGGCGGACGGGUGAGUAACGCGUGGGUAACCUGCCCUGUACACACGGAUAACAUACCGAAAGGUAUGCUAAUACGAGAUAAUAUACUUUUAUCGCAUGGUAGAAGUAUCAAAGCUUUUGCGGUACAGGAUGGACCCGCGUCUGAUUAGCUAGUUGGUAAGGUAACGGCUUACCAAGGCGACGAUCAGUAGCCGACCUGAGAGGGUGAUCGGCCACAUUGGAACUGAGACACGGUCCAAACUCCUACGGGAGGCAGCAGUGGGGAAUAUUGCACAAUGGGCGAAAGCCUGAUGCAGCAACGCCGCGUGAGCGAUGAAGGCCUUCGGGUCGUAAAGCUCUGUCCUCAAGGAAGAUAAUGACGGUACUUGAGGUGGAAGCCCCGGCUAACUACGUG